rnacentral:rRNA from 1 species
GAUGAACGCUGGCGGCGUGCCUAAUACAUGCAAGUCGAGCGAACGGACGAGAAGCUUGCUUCUCUGAUGUUAGCGGCGGACGGGUGAGUAACACGUGGAUAACCUACCUAUAAGACUGGGAUAACUUCGGGAAACCGGAGCUAAUACCGGAUAAUAUUUUGAACCGCAUGGUUCAAAAGUGAAAGACGGUCUUGCUGUCACUUAUAGAUGGAUCCGCGCUGCAUUAGCUAGUUGGUAAGGUAACGGCUUACCAAGGCAACGAUGCAUAGCCGACCUGAGAGGGUGAUCGGCCACACUGGAACUGAGACACGGUCCAGACUCCUACGGGAGGCAGCAGUAGGGAAUCUUCCGCAAUGGGCGCAAGCCUGACGGAGCAACGCCGCGUGAGUGAUGAAGGUCUUCGGAUCGUAAAACUCUGUUAUUAGGGAAGAACAUAUGUGUAAGUAACUGUGCACAUCUUGACGGUACCUAAUCAGAAAGCCACAGCUAACUACGUG